GGACAGCUGGGGACAGUUGCUCUUGUGACAGGAGUGACAGCUGGGCAGCCCAAGAGUUCUCUCUGUGCUACACACGCACACCCUCGCACACACGGGCGCAAGAACGCACAAAGGCGUAUGUGCACACACACCUACAGCCACACACAUGGCGGAUGGCCCCCCUCACCUACUCAGACAGCAUGGCAGACUUGCUAAUCUACGCCCUUUAAUCCGGGGGUGCGCUUCAUUCGGUGCCCCUCUCCCCCAAGGCCAGACCUCACCCCACCGCCGAGCUGACAGCUCUGAUAGGAGUGAAACAUGCCGGGGCAACUAUUUAUAGAGUCCCCUGAAAUACAGUCCGUCAAUCACAAAGUUUAUGUGACGAGCAGGUAAGCUGCAGUGUUUUUCUCUUCGAAUUGAUCGAGUUUGUUUCAGGGAACAAAAACAGUAAAUAAAUAUUUUAUAUAUAACGGUUUGAAAGAAAAUUAACACUAAAGAAACAGAUGAUGGCCGUAUUAAAAAGCUCCCGACGUACUUUAAUGUCAGCCGUCUAGUAAAACAAAGGAAGCUGUUAGGUCUCAUGGAAGUGCUAACUGCGUGCGUGAAACAGUUAUUUUAAGGAAUCGUUUUUUCUCCCCUCUUUAAUACACAAGCUGGCAGCCUCCACGGAGGAGUGUGAACUUGAGUUGAGUUGACAAAACGCCAGUUUUAAUCUCCCUUCCAACCGUUCAUCAGGUCUAUUUAAAGACCCUGUUCUCCUGCGACAACACAUCACGACGCUCAGGGUAAAACCACUGAUGGGCUAAACAUAAUUACAGGUAAUUAGAAAUAAACGAUCAUCCACCUCACACUGCUGUAUACAGUGUUAUACACCAUGCCAGUCAGUAUACAAUAAGCUAUGCUUGUCUAAAUGUUACACCAUAAGCUUCUCCGACAUGCUGUGCCAUAUGCUAUAUCAAAGGUUCUACUAUAUGCUUUUGUGUAAAAGCUAAAUAUACAUUUCCUAAUCACAGUGCCUGGAAGACCACCAGUGAUUUCUAACAAUGUUCUGCAGAACAGAACAGGUGUGCACGGCCUCUACUUGUUCCCUCAGGUGUGUUAGGGCUUUGGAACCUAGUUCUCUUCUCCGUGCACACAUACUAGCUUCUGCCUUUAAGAUAAACAGAAACAAUCUAGGCUAGCCAUGCGCACGGCCGGCCUGAUAACUCACAUCCUGUCUGCACCCGCUGCAGUGACCUGGAUACCGCAUUCUGUCACCCGCAGAGUGAGUGUGUGUGUGUGUGUGUGUGUGUGUGUGUGUGUGUGUGUGUGUGUGUGUGUGUGUGUGUGUGCGCGCGUUUCUGCUUGAGUGUUGCAACAGUGGGCAAGAAUACUGAGGUGUGUGUGUACGUGUGUGUCCACCUGCAGUCGAGUCAGUGUCAGUAUACGCCUGCAGGUGUGUGUUUUUGUGUGUGUGCCGCGUAUGUGAGCCCGUGUGUUUUGGUGACUUUGUGUGUGUGUGUGUGUGUGUGUGUGUGUGUGUGUGUGUGUGAUGAGCACGCGGUGAUAGCCAUCUCCUCACAUCCCCCGGUGAUGCAGGUCAUCAAUUCUCAUCUCUCUUUCUGUCCAGUCGGCCCCAAGCAGGCAGAUAUAAAUACCCCAAGCAGGCCCGCGGAGAACCAGCCAGUCGGCGAGUCCCCCAGCUAAUACGAAGCAGCCGGGGAACCAGCCAGCAAGCCUUAUUUAAAGAGCUGGAGACGAAUAGUCAGAGUGAAGGCUGUGUUUAUCCCUGCAUCAUUGUGGUCUCAAAACCCACAUUGAGUCAGACAGCUUAUCGGUCUCUCUUCGUCGCUCUGGGACAACGUUAUCCUCACACCAACCAGUCUGUAAACACACAACAACAACAACAACGACCGGUAAACCAGCCG
ensembl:lncRNA